rnacentral:rRNA from 1 species
AGUGAACGCUGGCGGCAGGCCUAAUACAUGCAAGUCGAACGGCAGCACAGCAGAGCUUGCUCUGUGGGUGGCGAGUGGCGGACGGGUGAGGAAUACAUGGGAAUCUGCCCAGUCGUGGGGGAUAACGUAGGGAAACUUACGCUAAUACCGCAUGCGCCCUUCGGGGGAAAGCCGGGGACCUUCGGGCCUGGCGCGAUUGGAUGAGCCCAUGUCGGAUUAGCUAGUUGGCGGGGUAAAGGCCCACCAAGGCGACGAUCCGUAGCUGGGCUGAGAGGAUGAUCAGCCACACUGGAACUGAGACACGGUCCAGACUCCUACGGGAGGCAGCAGUAGGGAAUAUUGGACAAUGGGCGCAAGCCUGAUCCAGCCAUGCCGCGUGAGUGAAGAAGGCCUUCGGGUUGUAAAGCUCUUUUGUCCGGAAAGAAAAGCAUCCAGUUAAUACCUGGGUGUCCUGAUGGUACCGGAAGAAUAAGCACCGGCUAACUUCGUGCCAGCCGCCGCCGUAACAC